rnacentral:rRNA from 1 species
AAGCCCGAGUAAACGGCGGCCGUAACUAUAACGGUCCUAAGGUAGCGAAAUUCCUUGUCGGUUAAAUACCGACCUGCAUGAAUGGCGUAACGAGAUGGGAGCUGUCUCAACCAGAGAUUCAGUGAAAUUGUAGUGGAGGUGAAAAUUCCUCCUACCCGCGGCAAGACGGAGAGACCCCGUGGAC